UGCACCUACGGGGCGCAGCAGUAGGGAAUUUUCGUCAAUGGGCGCACGCCUGAACGAGCAAUGCCGCGUGAACGAGGAAGGUCUUCGGAUCGUAAAGUUCUGUUGAAGGGGAAAAAGAGCGGAGAGAGGAAAUGAACUCCGAUUGAUAUUACCCUUCGAGGAAGUCACGGCUAACUACGUGCCAGCAGCCGCGGUAAUACGUAGGGGGCGAGCGUUAUCCGUAAUGUUUGGGCGUAA
rnacentral:rRNA from 1 species